rnacentral:misc_RNA from 1 species
GCCUUCAAAACUUUAUGAAGAGCAGUGAGGGGGCUUGUAGUUGGUCCUUUGCAGUUGUACAAGUGAACAAAAAUGCCAGAUAAAAACCACAAAUAAGCAGCUCCCAUCACUAUUGUUAAAAUCCUGAAUCUAUCUUUCCAACUUAGUGGAGUCAUGAAAAACACAGAUAUUGCAGCCCCUAGAAACUUACAACACGCCACCAAAAUUUAGUACGAUCAAAAACUUGUUUCUCAUCUUCACCAGGCAGCUGAUCUGCAAGUAAUUCUUUGAAAGGAGGAUCUUUUCCUGCCUUGCCCAAAGCUACCAGAACCAGAUAAAAUACACCAACCUUUACUUUUGAAGGAAAAACCAUAUAAGCAUCAACCCCUAGCUCGCGCAAAAUUAUGGCUCAGAAGACAGGAAAAAAAGAAAUCCCAGCAACUCGAAGCAGCAAACGAGAAAUAGAAAAGCCGCAAAACCAUCACACAUCUGCACCAUGACAACUACCAACAACUGCUAAACAGAAAAACUAAAACCUACCCUACAAAAUCCACGGAACCAACAGAAAAUUGAGAGCCUUUCCCUUCUCCAUUGAAUCUAAGUGAAAGAGUAACCAAAUGUUCCAAGGAGAUCCAAGUAACCGAAAGUAGAGGCGACGACCACUGAGAGGAAUAGAAGAAAACACGUCUAAAGCUUUCUAAGCAAAGAUACGUCUUAGCUGAUUUGAUUUGCCAUAAACUCCACAAUGGCUUCUUCCGGUUAAGAGAAAACAAGUUUUAAUUUCU